CUUCAGCGACCCGAGCAGCAGCGGCUGUCCUUCGGGCCGCUCCUUGCCGUACGUCGCGAGGAGGGCGCGGGCUUC
rnacentral:antisense_RNA from 3 species